GUAUUGUWCAUUCUUUYUCAUUGUUUCUAUGGUUCCUAAUUGAAAAUAGUAGUUGGGUUCCAAUGGUGACAACAUAAUCAAAGAUAAGCCAAAGAAGAGCAUGGGAAGGCAAGAAAUGACAAGGUCCUCACUUUUAAAAUGCUUAUUGUGUGAAUCAACAUGUGAAGAUAUUCUGUUAUCUUCGAUCAAUUGAUACGACCGACCUAUUCUUGUCUUCGCAAGAUGACCUAGUCUACAGCCUAGUACGUCACUCAUUGAGAAAGUCUCUUGUUUGCUGGGAAGUACCCAUGUUUUGCUGUAUUUUGUCUAUUUGAAUUAUCUCACGGUAGAACAAUUGAUUGAGUUCGUUAUUUUGUACUUGAUUGAUGAUCAAUUUGUCAAGGAAUGGAUCUUUUACAGUGGUUAUUGGUCGUGGAUUUCAUGAGAUAUUUGUCAAGGAAAAGCAAUUUCAAGAACUCUUGGAACACUCACUACACACACCUCUGUCUAGAAGUGAUCAUUAUUUAAUAAUGGAUAAUGGUAGAGGGAAAGAAAGUGUCCGUACCUCUAGUGUUAUCAUUAUUAUAUUGAUUUAUCAAAUAAUAAAUAAAUGAAUGUUGGAUUAAUAUUUUUUAAAUAACUAUUUGCAUAUUUGCAUAUUUUAUGUUUUUAACAUUAUUUCCAGGGUUUUUUUUUAAUAGAUUAUAGGUUAGAUUGUAAUUUGAUAA